UACGGAGGGUGCAAGCGUUAUCCGGAUUCACUGGGUUUAAAGGGUGCGUAGGCGGCCGGGUAAGUCUGAUGUGAAAUCUCACAGCUUAACUGUGAAACUGCAUUGGAUACUAUCCGGCUCGAGGAAUGGAGGGGAGACUGGAAUACUUGGUGUAGCAGUGAAAUGCGUAGAUAUCAAGUGGAACACCAGUGGCGAAGGCGAGUCUCUGGACAUUUCCUGACGCUGAGGCACGAAAGCCAGGGGAGCAAACGGG
rnacentral:rRNA from 1 species